rnacentral:rRNA from 1 species
AUGGCAAUGGCAAUGGGGGACAUGAGAUUGCUAUGCCCAUUGCUAGCCGUCCUGAUGGUUGCCACGGCAACCGCCAGCGACGAGGCCGCGCUGCUAGCUUUCAAAGCACAGAUCAGCCAUGGUGGCUUGCUGGCCUCCUGGAAUAGGAGCGCCGGCUUCUGCAGCUGGGAAGGCGUGACGUGCAGCCAUCGGAGGCCGGCGCAGGUGGUGGCGUUGAUAUUGAACGGCACUGGGCUCACCGGGGCACUCUCCCCGGCCAUCGGGAACCUCACGUUUCUGCGGACGCUCGACCUGAGCUUCAACUCGCUCCAUGGGGGCAUUCCGGCGAGCCUCGGCCACCAGGGGCUCUACUUGGACGACAAUGCGUUCUCCGGCACUUUCCCAGUGAACCUGAGCUCAUGCGUCAGCAUGAACGAAAUGGUACUGGACAACAACAAGAUUGGCGGGUGCAUCCCGGCUGAGCUCGGUGAGAAGCUCACGUCCUUGACAGAGUUCUCGCUGAGUAACAACAGCUUCAGAGGGCACAUCCCGGCAACACUGGCCAAUCUAUCCCAUCUACAGAUCCUCGAUCUCACCAGUAACCAGCUCGUGGGCUCGAUCCCACCGGGGCUCCAAAGCAUCCACAACAUGCGGUAUUUCAGUCUCUACGGCAACCUCCUCUCUGGUAUGAUCCCACUUUCUCUCUACAACUGGUCAUCAUUGGAAGUACUUGAUGUAGCUCUAAAUAUGUUAUAUGGAACCAUUCCGGAUGAUAUCGGAAGCAAGUUCCCCAAUAUGAAAGCUCUGAGCUUAUCUUCCAAUCACUUCAGUGGGGCCCUCCCCUCAUCAAUAUCCAAUAUGUCUCAUCUCACAACAAUUUUUCUCUGGAAAAAUAGAUUUAGUGGGUAUGUGCCUCCCACAUUGGGGAGACUGGGAGUUCUCCAAUAUCUGAACUUGGCUGACAAUCGGUUCGAAGCAAAUGACAACAAGGGAUGGGAAUUCAUCACCUCUCUGGCAAACUGCAGCCGACUGCAGAUAUUAGAACUCAGCGUCAAUCCUUUAGGAGGACAACUACCAGGUUCAAUUGUCAACCUAUCAACGACUCUCCGGGACUUAAGUUUAACUGACAAUAUGAUCUCCAGGGUUAUUCCUGCUUACAUAGGCAAUCUGGUUGGUCUCACAAGACUUGUGAUAGCAAACACUUCCAUAUCCGGAGUUAUUCCAGAGAGCAUUGGCAAGCUCAAGAACUUGAUCCAGCUAGGCUUGUACAACACUAGAUUGUCUGGCUUCAUACCGCCAUCGCUAGGAAACCUUUCGCGGUUGAAUGGGCUUAUUGCAAGUAAUGGCAACUUGGAGGGACCAAUUCCGGCAAGCCUGGGGAAGUUGAAAAAUCUUUUUGAACUUGAUUUGUCAAUGAAUUACAGACUUAACGGUUCAAUACCCAGAGAGAUCUUCAAAUUACCCGGCCUCUCUUCGCAUUUGGACUUGUCAUACAAUUCCCUUUCUGGACCCCUUCCUAAUGAGGUUGGUAGUUUGGCAAACCUUAACCAACUGAUUCUAUCAGGAAACCAGAUGUUUGGCAAGAUACCUGACGGUAUUCAGAAUUGCAUAGUGCUGGAAUGGCUGUUAUUAGACGAUAAUUCCUUUGAAGGAGGCAUACCUCAGUCACUGAAGAAUAUAAAGGGGCUCAGUAAACUGAACCUGGCCAUGAAUAAGUUCUCUGGUAAUAUUCCUGAAGCCCUUGGUAGUAUUGGAAACCUGCAAGAACUGUACCUAGCACACAACAACUUGUCAGGAUCAAUCCCAGUAGUUCUACAGAAUUUGACAUCAUUAUCCAAACUGGAUGUAUCCUUCAAUAAUUUGCAAGGCGAGGUGCCAGAUGAAGGUGUUUUCAGAAACAUCACUUACUUAGCGGUUGCUGGGAAUAUCAAUUUGUGUGGUGGUACACCUCAACUUCAUUUGGCCCCAUGCUCCAUAAGCAAGAACAAAAAAAACAUGCCAAAGUCUCUUGUAAUUUCUCUGGCGACAGCUGGAGCGAUCUUUUUAUCACUUUCAGCUAUUCUUCUUGUUUGGAUACUUUGCAAGAAGCUCAAACCAAGCCAGAAGACACUAGCACAAGAUUCAAUUGCUGAUGACCAUUACAUGAGAAUCCCCUAUCAUGCAUUAUUGAGAGGAACUAACGGAUUUUCGGAAGUCAACUUGCUUGGGAGAGGAAGUUAUGGUGCGGUUUAUAAGUGUGUUUUGGACACUGAAGAAAGAACAUUGGCUGUCAAGGUGUUUAAUCUUGGUCAUUCUAGAUAUUCCAAGAGUUUUGAGGCUGAAUGUGAGGCGAUGAGAAGGAUACGGCACCGUUGUCUCAUUAAAAUCAUUACUUCUUGUUCGAGCGUCAACCACCAAGGUCAAGAGUUCAAGGCAUUGGUUUUUGAGUUCAUGCCCAAUGGUAACUUGGAUGGUUGGCUUCAUCCAAAAUCGCAAGAUCCCACUAUAAACAACACACUCAGCCUUGCCCAAAGGCUUGAUAUUGCUGUUGAUAUUGUGGAUGCAGCAGAAUAUCUGCACAACUACUGCCAACCAUUGGUAAUCCAUUGUGAUCUUAAGCCAAGCAACAUUCUUCUUGCCGAAGACAUGAGCGCCCGAGUUGGAGACUUUGGCAUAUCAAGGAUCCUUCAAGAAAAUACAAGCGAGGGGAUGCCAGCUUUAAAUAGCUCAACCGGAAUUAGAGGUUCCAUAGGCUAUGUUGCUCCAGAGUAUGGCGAAGGCUCUGCGGUCUCAGCAGCUGGUGAUAUUUAUAGUUUUGGCAUAUUACUGCUUGAGAUGUUUACCGGAAGGAGCCCAACAGAAGGCACGUUCAGAGAUUCGUUGGAUCUGCAUAAGUUUGCCGAUGAUGCUCUUCCAGGUAGAACCUUGGAGAUAGCUGACCCAAGCAUGUGGCUGGACUGCAGGCAACACGAUGACACUACAAGUAUUAGAAUCCAGGAGUGCUUGGUUUCAGUGUUGAGGCUUGGCAUAUCCUGCUCAAAGCAACAGCCUCGAGACCGAGCACUGACGAGGGAUGCAGCAGCAGAGAUGCAUGCAAUCAGAGAUGCGUACCUCAUGUUUAUUGGGGACCAUGGAGCAGAAAGAGAAGCUCCGACUCAAGAAAUUCAGAACGGCGUUGAAUAA